UACGUAGGGUGCGAGCGUUGUCCGGAAUUAUUGGGCGUAAAGAGCUUGUAGGCGGUUUGUCGCGUCUGCUGUGAAAUCUCAAGGCUCAACCUUGAGCUUGCAGCGGGUACGGGCAGACUAGAGUGUGGUAGGGGAGACUGGAAUUCCUGGUGUAGCGGUGAAAUGCGCAGAUAUCAGGAGGAACACCGGUGGCGAAGGCGGGACUCUGGGCCGAUACUGACGCUGAGGAGCGAAAGCGUGGGGAGCGAACAGG
rnacentral:rRNA from 1 species